CAUUGAAGUGAUGAUAUUUUCAUCUGAAUUUUAUAAAUGUUGAGUUAAUAAAUCAGACUACAAUUAUCUGAUCAAUG